UUUUUACUCUUCUAAAUGUCAACAUCCUGUCAACAUCCUGUCAACAUCCUGUCAACAGGCAGCCGCGGCAGUCAGCAGGUAACAAGUGUGGCAUCAUCUCUGUGCGGAGGGCUGAGAGGAAACCACAGCAUCUAUAAUGAGGCUGGAAAUCCUUCAUUCUGUUUGAUUUCGUGAAAUCAAAGGUUCUGCAGGUUUGUGACAGGAGCUGAAGGUUGAUUUCACUCGUGUUACAGUGGAAGCAGAGAUCUGCUUUUUCAUUCUGGUGACAUGUUGGGCGUUAAAUGUUUAUUUCUGUGCUGGUUUUUGCAGCGUGUGCCCUCCCUGUAGUUUUGUCUAUUCAGCUACAGGGGCUAUCACUGCUAAUGUUAAUAACCUUUACAUUUAUUCCUGAUCAAGCAUUGCUUUAAUGUAUGCAUAUUCCUCAGCUGAAUACAUUAUUUUGCAAUUUCAA